CGCUGGCGGCGUGCCUAAUACAUGCAAGUCGAACGGUCUUUCUAUGGAAGCUUGCUUCCACUGAGAAGAUAGUGGCGAACGGGUGAGUAACACGUGGGUAACCUGCCCAUAAGAGGGGGGAUAACAUCCGGAAACGGGUGCUAAUACCGCAUAGUUUUCUUGAUCGCAUGAUUGAGAAAGGAAAGACGGCCUUUGUGCUGUCGCUUAUGGAUGGACCCGCGGCGUAUUAGUUAGUUGGUGAGGUAACGGCUCACCAAGACGAUGAUACGUAGCCGACCUGAGAGGGUGAUCGGCCACAUUGGGACUGAGACACGGCCCAAACUCCUACGGGAGGCAGCAGUAGGGAAUCUUCCGCAAUGGACGAAAGUCUGACGGAGCAACGCCGCGUGAGUGAAGAAAGGUUUUCGGAUCGUAAAACUCUGUUGUCAGAGAAGAACAAGUUGGAGAGUAACUGCUCCAGCCUUGACGGUAUCUGACCAGAAAGCCACGGCUAACUACGUGCCAGCAGCGGC
rnacentral:rRNA from 1 species